AUAUAUAUAUAUAUAUAUAGAUCUUAGGUCAAGAAAUGGCUUGAUUUUCUGUUUAGAUCUCUUAUGCUCUAGUUUUGAUGAAAAUACUCAUGGGUUUUCUUAACAACCCUAUAUUUAUUCAAGGGUUUGGUUAAAUAUUCAUAGAUCUGCCGUUUCUAUGAAUAUUUUCUUGUUUUUUUAUUUCAAAGUUGUGGGUUUUUAUGGGUUCCAUUGAUUUUAGGAUUUAGUUUGUUUCUUGAUAAUUACCUUUUAAUCAUUUCCUAUUGGGAUCUUGUAAAGGUAAGAUUUUUAGUUUCAGAUUUUAUACAUCUAGAUUUUUGGUUUUUGGUUUUUAUGAAUUUUACUUGAAAAAGUUGAUUCUUGAUAAUUUUCUUUAAUAUUUAUAUUUAAAUUUUUAUGUUAAAGAGUUUUGAGUGGAGCUCCUUAAAAUCCAAUAGAGGAACUUUGUGGGAAAAUAGAGCUGCUGAUCUAUGGAUCCCUCAAGCCCUAUCCCAUUACUUUAUCUAUAUGGAGGAUAAGCUUGUGGCUUGCAUAUAUCAGGAGCUGCAUUACCCAGCUUCAGAUCCUUGUUUGGAUUGAAGGGAGCUCUACACUUUAUUCUAUUCUAAUCUCCUUUUAUAUAUUAAUCAUAUUUUGCUUAUGUAUAUGUGUAUGUAUGUGUGUUUAUAUAUAUAUAUAUACAUGUCCAAAUAUGUAAGUGUUUUAUCUACUCUUCACAAGGAGAUAAAAUGAUAGAUUCUCUGUCUACGUAUAUGGCAUCCUAAUUUAGUUUCUGUUCUUCCACAAUCUAUAAUAAAAUAGUUUCCUUUUUUUCCAUUUAUGGUCCUUGAGGAAAGUCAAAUACAUCUGUCCAGGCAUUCACUUUUCGGUUUUUCUAUAUCUAUAUAUCUAAAUAUAUACAUGUGUAUAUAUAUAUAUAUGUAUAUGUAAAUUUCUGAUCUGUAGGUUUGUGCAGGGGUCAUGAUUCAAACAUAAUAUUUGCAGGCCUGCAUAGAGGAGAAGAACUAACUAGAUUCUUAUUGGCUGUACAGAUCUUGGGAGUUGACCUUGAAUAGUCGAAAUGUAUUUUUUUUAUAGUUUUUUUGAUGAUUUAUUUUCUUUUUCCUUUUUUCCUAGUCAAUUCAAUUGUAUACUACAAUAUUAAUUUUUAUUUAUAUAGAUUGUGGUAGGAGAUAUAGUAUUUGUACUAAUCGUAUGUUGGUUCAUAAGAGACCAGCUUUCUGGGCAAGAUUGGAGUAAUAGUAUGUGUUCUUGUGUGAAAAUAUUUACCAAUAAUUGCUUUUGAUACAUUUUUAAUCAGUAUUUGUAAUUAAUGAUGGCAUCUCUCUAUCCUUGGCUCAUUUUAUUGCCAUAGAAAGAGCUUAGGAUAGGGAGUGUAUGAAAGUAAAAAAAAGAGGGUUUUUUUUAAUGGAAACUAAUAUUUCCACCUGGAAAAAAAUGAUGGUUCCAAGUCUCUUUUGAAUAAAUGUGGGAUUUAUUUAUGAAAUGAAUGUGGGAUUUAUUUACUAUUAAUGUGAAAAGAAUCAGGUAGAAAUAAUUUUUUAUAAAAAAAUAUAAGUUCUUUUCUUAAUUUGUACUUUUUUAUAAUUGGAUAUAUA
rnacentral:lncRNA from 1 species